GUUUUAAUAGUUUAAUUCAAAAUACUGGUCUUGUAAACCAGAAAUGAGGCUUGCCUUUUAAAACU
rnacentral:tRNA from 1 species